rnacentral:lncRNA from 1 species
UGGGCCACCUCCCUCUCUUCCACCUACUCUAUUUGCUAAGAUGACCUGAACUGGAUGAGUGGCUGGUAAAGUAUAUUCAUCUUCUUCAUGACUGACUUUGUGGCAAUGAUGUAGAGAUGGUUGUGAGUCUUGGCAAUCCAACUACAACCUGCCUGAGGACACUGUAGCAUAUCUCAAGUUUCUCAGGACACACAUACAAUGGGCAGUGUCAUUUCCCUGUAAUACAGUGAGCUAUAUACAUCUUUCUUGUCAAAAUGGAAGAGGAUUUUCUACACAAAAGCAGACGUAUCAGCAGCACUGGUGCAUAUUUUGGAGGCACAAUGUUUUGGGUUCUGUAAAGAAUGAGGCGCACCCCUAACUUUUAGAGCAUCAGGUGUCUGUGAAAGAGGGACAUGCAUUAAGUGACACAGACCUUGUGAUCACCAUAAUGGAAACACCGGUGAAGGAUCCAGUGCAGAAACAGGGGAAACUUGUAUCACACAGCAAUAGAAGAGAAGUUGAGGACAGUAAGCAGAGUUUGAGGAGGUGCAGAGCAGAGGAUGCUGGGGUCAGUGAGAUGCAGUUGGAGGCCAUUCCUGAUCACAGCCUGAGCAGGGAGUGUGAGGUUCACACAGAGCUGCUAUGUGCGAUCACUCUCAGUGCACAAUGCAGUGUUCAUCUCCGAAAUGUCAUUUUCGUCAAAGUGCACCUAGGUAAUCAUCUAAAAAGGCUGUUGUCACCCUGGGUUUUCUGAAGGUUCUGGAUAUUUGUGGGGGGACAACGCCCUGGAGACAUGGGAAAUUUAAGUUGGUCUUAUGGAAAUGCUUGUAUGCCCAAGUUCAUAUCCCUCAGUGAGACUAAAAGUGGAGACAGGAUCUAGAUCAGCUGAGGGCCUGCACUGGCCUUCAGCCUGAGUCAGACUCUUAGUGGGUCAACCUACAAUUCAGCGUUGGCCAGAAGCCGCCCCUGCAUCAACCUGAUUACAGCUUUGCAUCUCCUCAAACUUCUCUCACAAUAUCCUGAGGCUUUGCCUGUGUUCCUGCUGUCUCAGCCCUAAUACCAGUUCUCAGUGGGACCUACACAGAGCCUCAGCUGUGUUAUCUGUGAAAACAGGGGUAAUAUUUGUUUCUAAGAACAUUAUGAAAAGAAGACAUUAAAUACAUAAAGCAUCUGCAAAAUGUCUGGGAAGUGUCCAUUCACCCUUCUCACAGUUUCAAUUAAGAUAUCUCCACACAGUGAUCAUGAAAAAAAGAUGGUCACAGAAGUUCAUUAAACUAAGACUGUUAACAUGUCAGCCCAGGGACUGGGAAUCGCCGUUUUAAACAAUGAGACAAGGUCCCUCAUUUUUCUAUUAAAAUUCGGGCCCUACCAGACAAAGAAAGAAGAGAUAAUUAUGAGAAUGUGUACAUUCAGAGAUCUAGAUCUGAAGACAAUCAUUUUCCAUUACAUACAAUCUCACAGAUGCAGCCACACACUAAAGUGUUCAUCUGAGGCCACAGCCACUGAUAAACUACAGAACACAGAAUGCAUGUAGGAAAACAUAAGAUCAGAGGGAAAUAAACCAAAAUCUCUUUGCCUUAUAGGACAACUAUUCUGAAAUUUGAAGAGGACUGUGCACGGAGACAGACUAUGGUGAUUACAUAUACAUUUUAAGCAGGUGUCAGAUCUGCCUGAAUGCUUUCCCUGCCCAUCCUGUCCGCUCCACUUUGUCGUUCCUACUGUCCGCCAAUCCACCUUUCAUCGUUCUAUCUCUGUGUCAGCGUCUGCUUCUAGGACCAUCUACUCUCACUCCCCAUCGAGUGCACGCAGUGGGGUUCCUGUACACACAGGUAACAAAGUGUUACCAGAAAUGGUGGUGACAGAGGAUAGAAGCAAGAUCACCCUUUGUGCAGGGGAGCCCGAGGGAGUUUUCUGGGGUGAUGGGAACUUCCUAUAUCUAGAUUGAUGGGGUGCUUAUGCUCAUUUAUUUUAGAAAUAUUCACUGGCUUCCUGGUGCCUUGGGGUCAAAUAGAUAGGUAUCUGUCCCUGGGAAAUGGUGGAGUUCUAAUGGUGGGGAAGGAUGAGGGACCAGCAGUGACUGUGGGAGAGGAGUGAGGAGGCCACACAUGGAGUCAAACCCUUGCCCAGGAUGCCAGGUCUCCACAGACAGCACCAUGUGUAGGAGGGCUCUGAGGAACAGAGAUUUCUUGAUCAGACCCGUGAACUACAUAAUGCUCUUGCAGUUUCCUCACUGAGGGAUGGCCAGAGCAGAGGCCAGGAGCUGGAGGACACCCUGAUCAUGGCUGGAUUGGAGCAGGGGACCUGGGGGAUUGAGUCAGAGAAAGGGACAGGCAGAAGGUAGCGACAGGGAGUCUGAGAGACAAAGGGGAGAGAAGAGAAGGUACGUUUCUCUGCUGACUUCACCUACAUU